AUUGGACGCUGGCGGCAGGCUUAACACAUGCAAGUCGAGCGGAGCGAGGGUGCUUGCACCUUAGCUUAGCGGCGGACGGGUGAGUAAUGCUUAGGAAUCUGCCUAUUAGUGGGGGACAACAUUCCGAAAGGAAUGCUAAUACCGCAUACGCCCUACGGGGGAAAGCAGGGGAUCUUCGGACCUUGCGCUAAUAGAUGAGCCUAAGUCGGAUUAGCUAGUUGGUGGGGUAAAGGCCUACCAAGGCGACGAUCUGUAGCGGGUCUGAGAGGAUGAUCCGCCACACUGGGACUGAGACACGGCCCAGACUCCUACGGGAGGCAGCAGUGGGGAAUAUUGGACAAUGGGCGGAAGCCUGAUCCAGCCAUGCCGCGUGUGUGAAGAAGGCCUUUUGGUUGUAAAGCACUUUAAGCGAGGAGGAGGCUCUUUAGGUUAAUACCCUUGAUGAGUGGACGUUACUCGCAGAAUAAGCACCGGCUAACUCUGUGCCAGCCGCCGCCGUAAAAC
rnacentral:rRNA from 1 species